AGAUGGGAGCUUGCUCCCUGAUGUUAGCGGCGGACGGGUGAGUAACACGUGGGUAACCUGCCUGUAAGACUGGGAUAACUCCGGGAAACCGGGGCUAAUACCGGAUGCUUGUUUGAACCGCAUGGUUCAAACAUAAAAGGUGGCUUCGGCUACCACUUACAGAUGGACCCGCGGCGCAUUAGCUAGUUGGUGAGGUAAUGGCUCACCAAGGCAACGAUGCGUAGCCGACCUGAGAGGGUGAUCGGCCACACUGGGACUGAGACACGGCCCAGACUCCUACGGGAGGCAGCAGUAGGGAAUCUUCCRCAAUGGACGAAAGUCUGACGGAGCAACGCCGCGUGAGUGAUGAAGGUUUUCGGAUCGUAAAGCUCUGUUGUUAGGGAAGAACAAGUACCGUUCGAAUAGGGCGGUACCUUGACGGUACCUAACCAGAAAGCCACGGCUAACUACGUGCCA
rnacentral:rRNA from 1 species